rnacentral:rRNA from 1 species
CGCAUCUGUGCAUGCAGCAUAUCAAUAAGCGGAGGAAAAGAAACUAACAAGGAUUCCCCUAGUAACGGCGAGUGAAGCGGGAAGAGCUCAAAUUUGAAAUCUUAAAGGGUUUCCCUUUACGAAUUGUAGUUUAAAGAAGUGUUUUCUGUUGAGGUUUUGGUAAAAGUUCUUUGGAAUAGGACAUCAUAGAGGGUGAGAAUCCCGUAUUUGACCUUUACUUUCAACUUUGUGAUACACUUUCAAAGAGUCGGAUUGUUUGGGAAUGCAGUCCAAAAUGGGUGGUAAAUUUCAUCUAAAGCUAAAUAUUGGCGAGAGACCGAUAGCGAACAAGUACCGUGAGGGAAAGAUGAAAAGAACUUUGAAAAGAGAGUUAAACAGUACGUGAAAUUGUCAAAAGGGAAGCGUUUGACACCAGUGUUGUUUUUCUGAAAAUCAAUUAAAGAACUGUUUAUGCUAAGCUGUUUAGACUUUAUCGGCUAACUGUUUAGUUUUGAGCUUUUCUUUAAUGCACUUUUCAGUUAACAAGUCAACAUCAAUUUCUUUUGCUGUAAAAAAGCUUGAGGAAGGUGGCUUGAGAUUCGUCUUAAGUGUUUAUAGCCUCUUGCCUAUGCAGUCGGAGAGAUUGAGGUCUGCAGCGUAGAUCCUUCGGGGCUAAAUGCAUUUGUGCUAAGUUAUAGCAUUUUAUAGACGACUUGUUGACUAUGAUUUGUCUUGUAGCUUACUCGCUUAUGUUAUUUUACCUACGCUUAGGAUGUUGAGCGCAUGUCUCUCUCU